rnacentral:rRNA from 1 species
GUGGGGAAUUUUGGACAAUGGGCGCAAGCCUGAUCCAGCGACGCCGCGUGGAGGACGAAGGCCUUCGGGUUGUAAACUCCUUUUGGAGGGGAAGAAUAAAUUGACGGUACCCUCAGAAAAAGCCACGGCUAACUACGUGCCAGCAGCCGCGGUAAUACGUAGGUGGCGAGCGUUACUCGGAAUUACUAGGCGUAAAGCGUAUGUAGGUGGUUAGAUAAGUCUAUGGUGAAAUUUCCUGGCUUAACUGGGAAGGGACAUAGAUACUAUCUGGCUUGAGUGUGGGAGUGGGAGACGGAAUUCCUGGUGUAGUGGUGAAAUGCGUAGAUAUCAGGAGGAACACCGAUGGCGAAAGCAGUCUCCUGGCCCAAUACUGACACUGAGGUACGAAAGCUAGGGUAGCAAACAGGAUUAGAAACCCGUGUAGUCC